GACGGGGCCCGCACAAGCGGUGGAGCAUGUGGUUUAAUUCGAUGAUACGCGAGGAACCUUACCUGGGCUCAAAUGUAUGUUGACGUAUUCUGAAAGGGAUACUUCUUCGGACAAUAUACAAGGUGCUGCAUGGUUGUCGUCAGCUCGUGCCGUGAGGUGUCGGGUUAAGUCCCAUAACGAGCGCAACCCCUAUCAUUAGUUGCCAUCAGGUCAAGCUGGGGACUCUAAUGAAACUGCCUACGCAAGUAGUGAGGAAGGUGGGGAUGACGUCAAAUCAGCACGGCCCUUACGUCCAGGGCUACACACGUGCUACAAUGGCCGGUACAAAGGGCAGCUACCUGGUGACAGGAUGCUAAUCUCAAAAGCCGGUCUCAGUUCGGAUCGGAGUCUGCAACCCGACUCCGUGAAGCUGGAAUCGCUAGUAACCGCAGAUCAGCUACGUUGCGGUGAAUACGUUCCCGGGCCUU
rnacentral:rRNA from 1 species